CAGUCGCCGCGGGAAAACGUAGGUGGCAAGCGUUGUCCGGAAUUAUUGGGCGUAAAGGGCUCGCAGGCGGUUUCUUAAGUCUGAUGUGAAAGCCCCCGGCUCAACCGGGGAGGGUCAUUGGAAACUGGGAAACUUGAGUGCAGAAGAGGAGAGUGGAAUUCCACGUGUAGCGGUGAAAUGCGUAGAGACGUGGAGGAACACCAGUGGCGAAGCACUCUGCUGGGCCGACGUUGACACUGAGAGACAAACGCUAGGGGAGAAAAUGGGAUUAGAUACCCGGGUAGUCCCUGUCUCUUAUACA
rnacentral:rRNA from 1 species